AACUCGGGUGGGUGUCCGCGGCGGUUCUGACGUUAUCUCGAUCGAUUGAUUUGCAUUUUUGGGCGGUUGACUUCUCUGAGAUCUGAUUGGGGUUCCUUCCGCAUCAUAAUUUUCUGUGAUGCAUUUGCUUGUUUGGUGCUUGGGGAUGUUUGAGGCAGAUUUGUAACCGCCGUUUUGAGGCCAGCUUGCUGGUACCCAAACAGCGUUAGCAUCUUUUGUCUUGGACAUUUGAGUAUGGUUUACGGGCAUUUAUUGGUUCGAUCUGAUUGUAAGUUACGGUCGCAUGCGACACGUGCUUUUCAUUUAGAUCGGUCCAGUUAAUGCUCUCGUACUCGCUCCCCAUGUAAAAGCCGGUCAUCUAUCCGACCCGUCUUGAAACACGGACCAAGGAGUUUAUCGUGUGCGCAAGUUUUUGGGUGUUAAAAACCUAAAAGCGAAAUGAAAGUAAAUGGCUCUUUAGAGUCUGACGUGCGAUCUUGUAAAAAAGGGCAGCAUGGCCCCAUUCUAACUGUUUACAGUAGGGUGGAGGAAGAGCGUACGCGGUGAGACCCGAAAGAUGGUGAACUAUUCCUGAGCAGGACGAAGCCAGAGGAAACUCUGGUGGAAGUCCGAAGCGGUUCUGACGUGCAAAUCGAUCGUCUGACUUGGGUAUAGGGGCGAAAGACUAAUCGAACCAUCUAGUAGUG
rnacentral:rRNA from 1 species